GACGAACGCUGGCGGCGUGCCUAAUACAUGCAAGUAGGACGCACAGUCUAUACCGUAGCUUGCUACACCAUAGACUGUGAGUUGCGAACGGGUGAGUAACGCGUAGGUAACCUGCCUAUUAGAGGGGAUAACUAUUGGAAACGAUAGCUAAUACCGCAUAACAGUAUGUAACACAUGUUAGAUGCUUGAAAGAUGCAAUUGCAUCGCUAGUAGAUGGACCUGCGUUGUAUUAGCUAGUAGGUAGGGUAAUGGCCUACCUAGGCGACGAUACAUAGCCGACCUGAGAGGGUGAUCGGCCACACUGGGACUGAGACACGGCCCAGACUCCUACGGGAGGCAGCAGUAGGGAAUCUUCGGCAAUGGGGGGAACCCUGACCGAGCAACGCCGCGUGAGUGAAGAAGGUUUUCGGAUCGUAAAGCUCUGUUGUUAAGGAAGAACGAGUGUGAGAAUGGAAAGUUCAUACUGUGACGGUACUUAACCAGAAAGGGACGGCUAACUACGUGCCAGCAGCCGCGGUAAUACGUAGGUCCCGAGCGUUGUCCGGAUUUAUUGGGCGUAAAGCGAGCGCAGGCGGUUAGAAAAGUCUGAAGUGAAAGGCAGUGGCUCAACCAUUGUAGGCUUUGGAAACUGUUUAACUUGAGUGCAGAAGGGGAGAGUGGAAUUCCAUGUGUAGCGGUGAAAUGCGUAGAUAUAUGGAGGAACACCGGUGGCGAAAGCGGCUCUCUGGUCUGUAACUGACGCUGAGGCUCGAAAGCGUGGGGAGCGAACAGG
rnacentral:rRNA from 1 species